rnacentral:rRNA from 1 species
UACGAAGGGGGCGAGCGUUGUUCGGAAUUACUGGGCGUAAAGGGCGCGCAGGCGGCCUAUCAAGUCAGGCGUGAAAGCCCCGGGCUUAACCUGGGAAUUGCGCUUGGGACUGAGAGGCUUGAGUACGGGAGAGGAGAGUGGAAUUCCCAGUGUAGAGGUGAAAUUCGUAGAUAUUGGGAAGAACACCAGUGGCGAAGGCGGCUCACUGGCCCGAUACUGACGCUGAGGCACGAAAGCGUGGGGAGCAAACAGG